rnacentral:rRNA from 1 species
GACGAACGCUGGCGGCGUGCUUAACACAUGCAAGUCGAACGGAAAGUCCCUGCCUUUGUGGGCUGCUCUAGUUGCGAACUGGUGAGUAACACGUGGGUUACCUGUCCUUCACUUUGGGAGAACUUCAUGAAACUUGGGCUAAUACCGGCUAGGAUCUCCUGCUGCUUGGUGGGCGUUGGAAAGUUUCGGCGGUUGGGGAUGUACUCGCGGCUCAUCAGCUUGUUGGUGGGGUAGUGGCUUACCAAGGCUUUGACGGGUAGCCGGGCUGAGAGGGUGACCGGCCAAAUUGGGACUGAGAUGCGGCACAGACUACAACGGGAGGCAGCAGUGGGGAAUAUUGCACAAGGGGAGGAAGGAUGAUGCAGCAAAGCCGCGUGGGGGAUGACGGGAUUCGGGUAGUAAACCGCUUUCGCCUGUGACGAAGCGUGAGUGACGGUAAUGGGUAAAGAAGCACCGGCUAACUACGUG